AACGAACGCUGGCGGCAUGCCUAACACAUGCAAGUCGAACGAGACCUUCGGGUCUAGUGGCGCACGGGUGCGUAACGCGUGGGAACCUGCCCUUAGGUUCGGAAUAACUCCCCGAAAGGGGUGCUAAUACCGGAUAAUGUCUUCGGACCAAAGAUUUAUCGCCUUUGGAUGGGCCCGCGUUGGAUUAGCUAGUUGGUAGGGUAAAAGCCUACCAAGGCGACGAUCCAUAGCUGGUCUGAGAGGAUGAUCAGCCACACUGGGACUGAGACACGGCCCAGACUCCUACGGGAGGCAGCAGUGGGGAAUAGUGGACAAUGGGCGAAAGCCUGAUCCAGCAAUGCCGCGAGAGUGAUGAAGGCCUUAGGGUUGUAAAGCGCUUUUACCCGGGAUGAUAAUGACAGUACCGGGAGAAUAAGCUCCGGCUAACUCCGUG
rnacentral:rRNA from 1 species